GCUCCGGUGGCCUGGCGGUUAGAGCGUCCGUCUCAGAUGCGUGAGGACGUGGGUUCGAUCCCGGUCGAGUCA